CUCCCAAAAGCGCCUCUUAGCCUCCUCGUCUAAGCCCGCUUGCGGCGCGUAAGCGCUGAUUGCGUUGUGGACGCAACCCCCAAUAACCAACUUAAUAGACAUUAACCUAUCAUUCACUCGCCUAACCUCGACCACAGACUCCCUUAGAUUCCUAUCUACCAAGAUUCCCACUCCAUUAUUACCUCUCACGACCCAGAAUACCACAGCUUAAACCCGUCUACAUUCUUCGCCUUCGACCCUUUCCACCUAGUCUCCUGGACAUAUGCUAUGUUAACCCUCCACUUCUGAAGAACCUUCGCCAACUCAAUGGACUUACCCGUCAGAGUGCCUAUGUUCCACGACCCAAUCCUUAAUCUAUGCGCGUCCGCUAUNNNNNNNNNNNNNNGUUUCCCACCCUUACCUCCCGCUCUACCCGCAGGACCAUUCCCUGCCCCGUACUCCCCCCGCCACCUCCCCCACCCCUUGAGGACAUGACCUUACACUAUCAUCCCCCGCCGCAACCACUAUCCCUCCAUCCGACUAUGGAGAAUAGUGACACACACACGCACUAUAGCGGAAUACGCAAAAAGAUGCAAACUAGAUAGCAACAAAGUAAACCUCACACGGAAUGCUCGCUAAAAUACGGAAAAAGGUGUACAAAGUAAACCAGAGAGCGGGAGGUUCCAACUCUCGGAGGAAAAACCUGAAAGUAGGCUUUGAUGCGCCCAUGGUCAACUGCUACCGACUAUUGCAUGUCCCGGCCGGUGUUGUAUAGCUCUUCACUCCCAAACUCUCCGAACUUGCCUUGGCGCCGCGACUAGUACCUAGUGUAAGUUUUCCUGAAGCUUAUCGAGACGUGUAGUUCUGUU
rnacentral:lncRNA from 1 species